GCAGCCGCGGUAAUACGGGGGAUGCAAGCGUUAUCCGGAUUUAUUGGGUUUAAAGGGUGCGUAGGCGGCUUGGUAAGUCAGCGGUGAAAUUUAGGGGCUCAACCUCUACCGUGCCGUUGAUACUGCUGGGCUAGAAUGCGGAUGCCGUGGGAGGAAUGUGUGGUGUAGCGGUGAAAUGCAUAGAUAUCACACAGAACACCGAUUGCGAAGGCAUCUCACGAAUCCGCAAUUGACGCUGAGGCACGAAAGCGUGGGGAUCAAACAGGAUUAGAUACCCC
rnacentral:rRNA from 1 species